UUACACAUGCAAGUCGAACGAAGGCUUCGGCCUUAGUGGCGCACGGGUGCGUAACGCGUGGGAAUCUGCCUUCAGGUACGGAAUAACUAGGGGAAACUCGAGCUAAUACCGUAUGAUAUCGAGAGAUCAAAGAUUUAUCGCCUGAAGAUGAGCCCGCGUUGGAUUAGCUAGUUGGUAGGGUAAAGGCUUACCAAGGCGACGAUCCAUAGCUGGUCUGAGAGGAUGAUCAGCCACACUGGGACUGAGACACGGCCCAGACUCCUACGGGAGGCAGCAGUGGGGAAUAUUGGACAAUGGGGGAAACCCUGAUCCAGCAAUGCCGCGUGAGUGAAGAAGGCCUUAGGGUUGUAAAGCUCUUUUACCCGGGAUGAUAAUGACAGUACCGGGAGAAUAAGCUCCGGCUAACUCCGUGCCAGCAGCCGCGGUAAUACGGAGGGAGCUAGCGUUGUUCGGAAUUACUGGGCGUAAAGCGUACGUAGGCGGUUUAAUAAGUCAGGGGUGAAAGCCCAGAGCUCAACUCUGGAACUGCCUUUGAGACUGUUAGACUAGAACAUAGAAGAGGUAAGUGGAAUUCCGAGUGUAGAGGUGAAAUUCGUAGAUAUUCGGAAGAACACCAGUGGCGAAGGCGACUUACUGGUCUAUAGUUGACGCUGAGGUACGAAAGCGUGGGUAGCAAACAGGAUUAGAUACCCUGGUAGUCCACGCCGUAUACGAUGAUAACUAGCUGUCCGGGUACAUGGUAUCUGGGUGGCGGAGCUAACGCAUUAAGUUAUCCGCCUGGGGAGUACGGUCGCAAGAUUAAAACUCA
rnacentral:rRNA from 1 species